rnacentral:lncRNA from 1 species
CUGAAACUUAACAUUUCAUACAGGAUUCAGAUGUACACCUAUUUCUGGAAGACAACUCUUUAUCUACACCCCCACCAUGCUCUCAGACUCAGCCCUGGACUCUUUUAUUCUCAUGAUUUUUUUUGUGUGAAAUAAAUGCUGGUUUGUGAGCAAGAGAAACACAGAGAGACUUGGAAGGGCAAGUUCUGCCGAUGAUAUGGUGACUAUUGCUCAGCUCAACCACCAGCUCAUCCCAUUUCUCAGGAAAGAGUGAACUGCAAGGAAAAAUGAAAGAACAAACAUGGAAGAGUUCAUUUCACUGAUGCACUGUGAGACCUUUGGGGUAAUAUUUCUUUGGUGCUCAUCCCAUAAUAAAACAUGAAGAGAAGAGCAUCAUUUACCUGAUGAAGUGUGGCAUGGCUUCCAUAGACUGAGGGCUCCAGAAAAUCCAAUCUGACAUAAUCACAUGAUGGUGCUGCCCUGUUAUUGCAGCUUUAGGUGGGUGAGAGGCAGUAUUGCAAGGGAAAUUUUGGGAACCUCCCAUAAAGGAAUCCUUAGUUCCCUCAGACUACCAGGACAAAUUGACACAAAUUUGUCAGCUUAAAAUAACAGACAUGUAUUCUCCCACAGUUCUUGAGAACAAAGACUACACUUAAGGUUUCAUGCGGAUUAAUUAUUUCUUGGGGGCUCAGAGAGAGAAUCUAUGCUUCUCUUCCAGCUUCUAGUGUUCUCCAGCAAUUCUUGGCAGUUCCUUAGUUUGUGGAUAAAGCACUCCAGGCUCUGCCUCCAUUUCCACAUGGCUUUCUGUUGUGUGUGUCUCUGUGUCUGUCUCUGCUUCCUCUUCUUAUAAUAACAACACACAUUGGAUCAGGGGCCUCUAGUCCAGUAUGACGUCAACUUGAUUACAUCUGCAAAGACCCUGUUUCCAAAUAAAGUCACAUUCACAUGUGCCAGGCGUUAGGGCUUCAAUGUAUCUUUUUCAAGGAAUCCCAUUCUUAAGCCGCGAUGUUGAUUGUAUCUUUCACUGUUUAGAAAGCAGUAGAGUCCACUGCGGCAAACAUCCUCUGGGGACAAAUGGUAAAUGCCAUGUAGCAACUGGAAAAAAAAAAAAAGGAAAGAAAAUCUUCCCUUCUCUCUCUUUUUGUUUCCAAACUUGAAUCUCUAAGGAAGAUUCUGAUUAAGAUUUUUGGGAGCUGAUAUAUUAUGUUGAGCCAUAUAAAACUGCUGUUUUGUGAAGCUAAAAAGUUUACAUAUAGACAGUUUCUUGUUAUUCAACCUAACAGCAAGUAAACUAAGAGGCAGAAAAUUAUUACAUAUUUAGAACGUGACCAUUUUU